CAAAAAGCCAGUCUCAGUUCGGAUUGGGGUCUGCAACUCGACCCCAUGAAGUCGGAGUCGCUAGUAAUCGCAGAUCAGCAAUGCUGCGGUGAAUACGUUCCCGGGCCUUGUACACACCGCCCGUCAAGUCAUGAAAGCUGGUAACACCCGAAGCCGGUGACUUAACCUUUUUGGAGAGAGCCGUCGAAGGUGGGAUUGGUGAUUGGGACUAAGUCGUAACAAGGUAGCCGUACCGGAAGGUGCGGCUGGAUCACCUCCUUUCU
rnacentral:rRNA from 1 species